rnacentral:rRNA from 1 species
AUCUGCGAUAAGCGCCGGUAAGGUGAUAUGAACCGUUAUAACCGGCGAUUUCCGAAUGGGGAAACCCAGUGUGACUCGUCACACUAUCAUUAACUGAAUCCAUAGGUUAAUGAGGCGAACCGGGGGAACUGAAACAUCUAAGUACCCCGAGGAAAAGAAAUCAACCGAGAUUCCCCCAGUAGCGGCGAGCGAACGGGGAGGAGCCCAGAGCCUGAAUCAGCAUGUGUGUUAGUGGAAGCGUCUGGAAAGGCGCGCGAUACAGGGUGACAGCCCCGUACACAAAAGCGCAUGUGCUGUGAGCUCGAUGAGUAGGGCGGGACACGUGGUAUCCUGUCUGAAUAUGGGGGGACCAUCCUCCAAGGCUAAAUACUCCUGACUGACCGAUAGUGAACCAGUACCGUGAGGGAAAGGCGAAAAGAACCCCGGCGAGGGGAGUGAAAAAGAACCUGAAACCGUGUACGUACAAGCAGUG